rnacentral:rRNA from 1 species
UGAGGAAUAUUGCACAAUGGGGGAAACCCUGAUGCAGCAACGCCGCGUGGAGGAUGAAGGCUUCGGUUGUAAACUCCUUUUCUGGGGGAAGAGACAAGGACGGUACCCCAGGAAUAAGUCACGGCUAACUACGUGCCAGCAGCCGCGGUAAUACGUAGGUGACAAGCGUUAUCCGGAAUUACUGGGCGUAAAGCGCGCGCAGGCGGUUGGUCAAGUCCGGCGUGAAAUCUCCUGGCUCAACUGGGAGAGGUCGUUGGAAACUGAUCGGCUUGAGGCGAUGAGAGGGGUACGGAAUUCCAGGUGUAGUGGUGGAAUGCGUAGAUAUCUGGAGGAACACCAGUGGCGAAAGCGGUACCCUGGCAUUUGCCUGACGCUCAUGUGCGAAAGCGUGGGGAGCGAACGGGAUUAGAUACCCCCGUAGUCC